CGCAGGCGGCGGUGCUGGCCCGGCGUGAAAGCCCCCGGCUCAACCGGGGAGAGUCGUCGGGGACCGCACCGCUUGAGGGCGGUAGGGGCCGGUGGAAUGCCUGGUGUAGUGGUGAAAUGCGUAGAGAUCAGGCAGAACACCUGGGGCGAAGGCGGCCGGCUGGGCCGUCCCUGACGCUGAGGCGCGAAGGCGUGGGGAGCGAACGGGAUUAGAUACCCCGGUAGUCCACGCAGUAAACGAUGCCGACUAGGCGUGGGGGGAGUUGACCCCCUCCGUGCCGGAGCCAACGCGGGAAGUCGGCCGCCUGGGGAGUACGGCCGCAAGGCUAAA
rnacentral:rRNA from 1 species